rnacentral:lncRNA from 1 species
GGCGCGCACUUGGCCCCGACCCCCGGCAGCGGCUGUGCGUGCAGCCUCUUCGUCCUCCGCGCGGCGUGCACUUGCUCCCGGCCCCUGCGCCGGGCGGCGGCGGGGCAGCGCGCAGGCGCGGCCGGAUUCCGGGCAGUGACGCGACGGCGGGCCGCGCGGCGCAUUUCCGCCUCUGGCGAAUGGCUCGUCUGUAGUGCACGCCGCGGGCCCAGCUGCGACCCCGGCCCCGCCCCCGGGACCCCGGCCAUGGACAACUGUUCCCCCUCAUCUUCCCGGCAGGUAAGUG